rfam:Lupinus angustifolius cultivar Tanjil contig_44292, whole genome shotgun sequence.
UCCUCAGUAGCUUAGUGGUAGAGCAGUCGGCUAUUACUUAACUGGUCAUAGGUUCAAAUCCUACUUGGGGAU